rnacentral:rRNA from 1 species
AUAUAUGGCCAUACCACCCUGAACGCGCCCAAUCUCGGAAGCUAAGGAGAGUCAGGCCCAGUUAGUACUUGGAUGGGAGACCACAAUUU